rnacentral:precursor_RNA from 3 species
CGAAUUCCAAGCUUGCGGCGGUGACAGAAGAGAGUGAGCACGUCGUAUCCAGUGCGAAUACCUCGGACCCUGCACU